UACGUAGGGGGCAAGCGUUGUUCGGAAUUACUGGGCGUAAAGGGCGCGUAGGCGGCACGGCAAGUCGGGAGUGAAAGGCCAGGGCUCAACCCAGGAACGGCUUUCGAGACUGCCGAGCUAGAGUGCGGAAGGGGCAACUGGAAUUCCCAGUGUAGCGGUGAAAUGCGUAGAUAUUGGGAAGAACACCGGAGGCGAAGGCGGGUUGCUGGGCCGACACUGACGCUGAGGCGCGAAAGCCAGGGGAGCAAACGGG
rnacentral:rRNA from 1 species